CCGAUCGAAAACAAAUCAGUGGGGCCAUGCCGGUACGACUGAAUAUGCGUUAAAAAGGUCCCCUACGACACAAAAAAAACCGGGCCGAACUUCUAACAGCCCGCCCGCUUCCAUAGAACAAUAUCGUGGCAACGUAGACCUAAGUGGUCAUAUAUAUAUUGGAUCUUUGGGAACCAUCACAAGUGCGGCCGGCCUCUAUUUAAACGAGAAUGUCGUGUCGUCCAGCGGAGCCUAGAAGAUGACUCGCGCAGACAGUUGACUCCUUCUUUUCAAUAGAAAGGAAUAGCCAAACCAACCCAGCU
rnacentral:lncRNA from 1 species